rnacentral:rRNA from 1 species
GAUGAACGCUGGCGGCGUGCCUAAUACAUGCAAGUCGAGCGAACGGACGAGAAGCUUGCUUCUCUGAUGUUAGCGGCGGACGGGUGAGUAACACGUGGAUAACCUACCUAUAAGACUGGGAUAACUUCGGGAAACCGGAGCUAAUACCGGAUAAUAUUUUGAACCGCAUGGUUCAAAAGUAAAAGACGGUCUUGCUGUCACUUAUAGAUGGAUCCGCGCUGCAUUAGCUGGUUGGUAAGGUAACGGCUUACCAAGGCAACGAUGCAUAGCCGACCUGAGAGGCGGAUCGGCCACACUGGAACUGAGACACGGUCCAGACUCCUACGGGAGGCAGCAGUAGGGAAUCUUCCGCAAUGGGCGAAAGCCUGACGGAGCAACGCCGAGUGAGUGAUGAAGGUCUUCGGAUCGUAAAACUCUGUUAUUAGGGAAGAACAUAUGUGUAAGUAACUGUGCACAUCUUGACGGUACCUAAUCAGAAAGCCACGGCUAACUACGUG